GCAAGGUGUACUUUACCCCUGAAUGAUAAAACUAGCUGCCAUUUAUAAUUAAUUUUCAUACCUUUCCUCCUUUCAGUAGGUGAAUAGAGACAGAGUAUGUUACCUUUUGGGAUUGCUCUAUAUGAGGUUUAAGGGUACAGCACUAUAUGCAAUAACAACUGUAUAACUGGGUGGAGAGUUCACAGUGCUUCUCCUUCCCUGGCUGCCAAUUAAGUUGUCACAGUUCAAUAUUUUCCUGCUUUCCCUACUGGAAGUGUGUAAUCCAGUGUUUUCUACCUGUUGCUGGCCUAUGCCCUAAGCCAUGUUCUCUUUUACAACUCAAUUGUGUGUACUGGGAGUUUUGUGUGAUGCAUCCAUCAUUCCUCCCACUCUUAUUUUCUUGGACUCUUCAUUAAUUGAUUUUGUGCCACAGGUUGUAGUAUAUCAAUUCAAGGAAAAAGAAUGGAGGCCUUCAAUGAUUUUAUUCUAAUCUUGAUGGACCAUAUGUAUCUGAAGUUAAGUAUAAGAUCAUUCACCCUUUGUUGAGACUGAGUAAGGAAUUCUUUCUUUUGCCAAUUGUAAAAUAUUUCAGGCAUGUAACUUACGUUAUCCCUAGAUUAAUAAUGUGGGAUUUUUUGUGUCUUAUAUUUAAAAGUUCAGAACAUGUUUUUCUCAGUAAGCUUAUUGCUUAAGGGCAAUUGGAAACAGAAAAUAGACCGUGAUAAUUUGUGUUAUUGUUAAACUGAUGCUUAUUUAUUCACUAGGUAAAUGGAGGAAAAGGUCAUAUGAGGCAUUGUCAUCUUGUCAUUUUUGAAUAUAUAUUCUGAUUUAAUUGAAGGAGAUACAUCAUCUUCAAUGGGGAAAAUGAACAAUUUACUGUCACAAUCACUUUGGAAGAUAUGCACAGUGGUUAAAUUAGGUAUUGAAAAGGUUUUAGCUGUCCAGAGAGAAGUUUGUUAGAAUGGUCAGUCUUCACUCUGAUAAGCUCACUUAUGCUUGGAUUGCUGGAAAUAUUAGCAUUUUCACUCCUUUUUGAACAGUUUCUCACGUGCAUGUACAGUUGACUUACAGUUCUUGCCUAAUCAGCUUUUGAAUUCGUAUAAACUGGUUACUUCCUCUAAGCUAACCAGAUGACUUGAGAAAUAUUUCUGUCAAAUCUUCUUUUCACAAUCCCCUUUCCCUACAGAUGAUGACUACAAUGGAUGAGGUACUGGCAAAUAUAGAGUGCAGUGGUCUUGCAGUGGUCUCACAGUGGUCUGUGGGGGUCUGCUGCAGUAGAGAGAGUUAGCACUUUGUAAGUUGCUGAUUGCUGUGUUUAAAACAACUUAGGCUAUGUUCUUGGUUAAUUUUGUAGGACUAGCAGUUAGAUUAUAGUUGUUUUUUUUUAAUGAUUGUGUUGGUAUGGAGACUAGGGAUGGGACAGGUCCAAGUCUAGGUAACAGAACUACCUAAAAAUAAGGACUAGAGAUAAACUGUGUUGGAUGAAGUUUGGAGGGGAGUAAGCAAGUCAGUAGGGAGGAAAGUCAGUAGGCAGAAAAAAAAGUAGGAUUUGUUGUAUUGCAUGUGAUGUGUUUUGGUGAGGAGGAAAUUGGCAUUGUAGGAGUUUAUGAAUUCAUUCACAUUAGUGUCCAUUUCCUCCAUCUCUUGUAGGGUGAUACUUUUUUCAUCUGAGGAGGAAACAGAUUUUGUCUUGAUUUUUUUUUUUUUCUGGGAUUUUAUCUUGCAUGACAUCCAAGAGAGCUACUGAAUUCUGUUCUCUCUUGCUGCAUUGUGCUUAAAGUUAAAUGCAGAAGGCAAUCAAUUUUCUUGUCCUUUUGCUAGGCACAGUUCAAAAUCCCAGCUUCCCUCCUCCUUGCUCACAGUCCAACACAAGAUCCAUUUCCCAUGAAUGCUAUCAUUGAGAAACAAAAGUGAUAGAUUUUGUCCUGCUUAGUAUUUCUACAGCAGCAGCAUACAUCCCAGAAGUCCUAACAAACUGCUUGGAGGCAGCACUUGUUGUCCGUCUGAGUAGAGAAAUGAGAAUCAUUUUUUAGAUAGACAUUAUCUCUGUCUGCCUGGAAAAAGUGUGGGCAAUAUUGGCUUGGCAUGAGACUUGUAAGGAAACUCUGCCAAUUUCCCUGAUGAUGCCAGUCUAAAGCAAAGAUAUGACAGCCAAGAGGGAUACUUGCAAGCAGUAUGUGUAGAGAGAGAUAUAGUAGUCUUCCUCAGUGAACUGAUUAGAUGUGGAUUUAUGACAUCACAUAGCCUGAUAACUCCGGGAAGCCAAUACUGGUGCCUUGGAAUCAGGUCAGUGGAAAAGAGUGAAGGGGAGUCUCUUGUUUGAAGACACAGUGAUUUAUAGCCAGUAAAAUUCAUGGAAGGAGCCUCUCUGUGAAGAGAUGAAGCCCUAUCGGCACUCCAAUUAGCUAUGUUUAUAAUUGAUGGUAUGAGCGGAAAUCACUGUGAUUCAUGACCAAUAAUAUUCAUGACAAGAGCAACUCUUUCAUUUCAGGGAAAAAAGACCAAGAACUGCUCUAAAUUGCACAUGAUUGUGAUUAAUGACUAGGGAAGAUAAAUGGUGAGUGGGUGCCUGAGACCAGUGUUGUGCUGAGAAAUCUAUUUAAGCCACUUUCAGAGGAACAAGAAGGAGAGGAGGGAAUAGCUGUGUGAGCAUCAUUGCUUGUCAAAUACCUCCCACAGACUCUAAUGGGGCAUUAGGGGUUGUGCAGAUAGUGCAAAACUGUAGAAAUGAGAAACUGGCCAGAAUUCUGUUUUACUGAUUCUCCAACCUUUUGUCUGCCGUGAGCACAUUGAGUGCUUUGUGGUAUAUCCAAACUUUUCUUCGUGAUCAAAGAAUCCCAGGUGAAAAUAAAUGGAGAGGGGGAGGGAGGAAAGAAAGAACCAGUGGCUGAAGCUGAUAGAAAACAUAGAACAAGAAGUAGGGCUAGUUCUCUACACCUUAUUUCCUAGCAGACUUUGAAAGUGCAGAGGGUCUCCAGCUGAGUGGAUAGGAUGACAAUCAGCACCUGCAGAGCAAGACAGUGGACAUUGUCAGAACCUCAGAAGGGGUUCUGAAAGAGAUUUAUGAGGGAACUGAAAGAGAUUUAUUUGGAAAAGGAGGGAGGGGAAAAGUGCAUUAAGAGAAAUAACCAUCAGAGAUGAGAGCUCUGCCUUUUUAACCCAAGAGUCUGGGGGCUCCUUUUGAUCCUGUUCAAAGAUAGCAUCAUCUACAACUUGUUCAAAGUAUUGUAAUGAAAAUUUUCCACCCUUCCUUCUUUGCCAUAUGCUCAUGGCAGAACUUACAUCCAGUGAAUAAAUCCAUCUAGAGAAUAUCUUCAGUAACAUAUCUUAAUAAGCAAUUUUUCAUCUCUUUACCCUCACAACAAUCCUGUUUACGAAAAGUUUCAGCCUAUUAAGUUUGAGCUUUCCUACCAAAAUUCUUAAACUGGAAUAUUUUUUUUAUUUAAAAAUAUCUGGUUGUAUACAGAAAUGGCUUACUACUGGCUUAGCAGAUAGUAUUUGUCAUCAUUACCUAGUAUCCAAAUGCCCAAGUCAUCGACCAAAACUCCAGUAAACGGUCAUCCAGACACUGAGGAAAAAAAAAAUCCUAAUACAUUCAACAGAUAGCAAAUGUUGACAAUGAAUGCAAGUGAGGAUAUAGUAACACUAAAAGACUUCUCAUUGAAAUUUAGGUCUAGUCUGCCUAGAAGCAAGGUGUCAAAUUAACUACAUGCACUUAUAUUUGCAAAAAUACAGGUUUUAGAUCACAGAUUAGAAAAUCAGAGCUAAUCAGAGCUUGGCCUUGAAAAAGUAUGCUGUUGACAUUGAACUCCUGUUCAUGCUGAAGUUCCCACCCUCCAGGGAAAUGAGUUAGUUGCUUCUCGCAUCUUAAUAUCUGAUGCUUGGCUAACUUUAAGUCCUAAUAACUUGACCCUUUAUUAGUGUUUUUUGACCUGUUUAAACAUAAAAAUUUCAGUAUUAUUUUCUUUCUGUUAUAAAUAUCAGCCUAUUUCUGUAUUUCUUUCCUGCAAUAUUUGUAUUACAUUAUUUUAGACCAUUUCAUGUCUUUCUUGAUGAUUUUUUUACAGAAAAUUACCAUUAAAAUCAGUUACUUCAAAAAGAUUGACUUUUCUUUUAACUUGGUACUGAUUCUUAUCAAUUUUCUGGUUUCUAGGUUGCAUGUGGAAGUCAUACGCCCCACAACAAAACAAUAGUAUAAAUUGCACCAAAGCAGUACAAACAAUUUGACAAAAAGAACUUGAGUAAUAAACAGUACAUUUAUUACUUCAAGCAAAAAUAAUAUCUCAAAGCAGGGCUUAAUGUUAGGUCCUCAUCUAGUUGGAACAUUUGUUUCUGUUAGGUAUCAUUUUCACCUACUUCCCUGAAGAAAACAGGCUGAGAUAAUCUCACUAACAGCUUCCUCUUGACCACUACCCCUAAAACUAUUUUAACUUGAUGAAAUUUUAAUCCCAUUGAAAUCAAAUUUGAUGGAGGGAAAGGAAUCUCAAGGAAAAUUAAGAUACAGCAGGUUUCAAGAAAACUAGUAGAAUGCUGAAGUGUGAGUUAGUGUCUUCAGUGAGGAAAACAGCUGUUUUUCAGAACUGGCAAAAAUAUCAGACCCAUCCUGCACAGACAGAAAGUGUCCAGCAAACCAGAAAUGAAUACAACAUCUUGCAGUUAGAGGGAUUUCCAGGGAGACACAGUGCAUCCACCAUGCUUUACUACUUCUGAUGCUCAUAGGAAAAAAAAAAAAACAACAACAACAACAAAAAAAAAAACAAUAUUAAAAUCUGUAUUUAUAUAAAGGCUGCUGUUCUACAUUCUUCUCUUAUUUUUACUCAAAGAUUCAGAAAGUAUUUAUGUGGCUGCAAAAUCUGUUCUUCCUUAGGAGCUGUGUUUUCCUCUGUAGAACCAACUAUAAAAAUGUACCCUCCAUGCCUUGCUGAAAGAUGUCUUUUGCAGAUUCUCUUGAACCUGAAGCAGUGAAUAUGGAUCUCAUUGAAUAUGUAGGCUGCAGCAAUACUUAUUUGAAGGCCAUUCAUAUUCCACUGGCUUUUGACAUGAACACUGCCAUUAACCUAUCAUUUGAUGCAAUUUUCUUCUCAAAAUGUAUUCCUGCCUGAAGUAGCCCAAGCUAGCUGCUCCCAUAGGAUUCUGAGAAGACAAUAGUUCUUCACAUGAGGCUGCUGAGCUGUGAACAAGCUCUGCUGCUGAUGGAGAUGUCAAGAGAAAAGAUGAUUUGAAAGAAAUAAGGGAAUCUGUCACAAAAUGCCAGCAUCUUUGAUGUGUUGAAGGUUCUCCUCUUGCUGAAUUCAAGAGCCUCCUAGCCUAAAAAGCAACUUCUUUUCUGUUUUCUAAGGAUUUCUCUUAUCCGAAGAGAAACUGGAACUGGAACCAUCUUAUGCUACUUUUCAUUAAUAAAAUUUCAUUUGUCAGCUGGUGCAAUCUUCCUUUCCUGUCAGUUCUAAGGGAGAACAGUAAUUUAGUAGAAACAGUUGUAUUGGAAACAAGGUCAUAUGCACAAAUAUCACUUGAAAUACAUUUAAGGAAUUUACUGUAAACAAAAAAAAAAUUUCUUUACUCAUAUUAUACUCUAGACAAUUACAAGCCAAUUCCAAACUAUGUAGUGUGGCACCGUGUUUAAGUUCAUAAGCCUAUAAACAGAAUGUCCAUUUGCAAUCAUACCCUCCUUCACAUAUUUACGCUUUCAUCUUUCCAAAGAUAAAUCUAUCGUACUAAAAUGGUGUCUUCAGAAAAAAGUUUCUGCUGAUAUUCCUGAAAGCACAGAAGUGUUCGAAAUCUUGUGAGAAUAUCCACUCUACUGAGUUUUUAGAGAGGCAAGCAGAAUGUUCCCGCAGCUGGGUUUGAUGAGGAUUUAAGGCAAAUACAAAUGCUAUUUGUCAUAUUCAGAAUGGUUUUCAUAAGGGCAAACAUUAAAUGCCCCAAUGUGGUGACCUUAAUUGCUGGGAGUGAAAGAUGCGUUUCAUAAUGAAAAAGAGUGUGGAGAGUCCUGGACUCCCGGCUACUGUGGCUACCAGCAAAGCUAACCAUACUUGCCUCUGGCUCUGUUCCCUCUGUGUUUGCAGUAGAUAGCUUUGCACUCCUCAUCUUUCUACAGCUUUGACUUUCCUUGUUCAGUUGAUUGUUACUUACCCUCCAAAAACUUAAGAUUCCUGUAGUGGUAUUUUGAUGUUGUCAAAAAGGUUGUUCCUUUCCGUCAACUUAUUUUCAUUAAGUCUCUCUUUUUUUUUUCUCCCCUACUAAUUUCCUGCCAUUUAUCUAUUGGUCAGUUGUCAAAUUCAUAUCAUCUCCAGGGUCUGAUUAGUCCCCUCCUUCUCUAGCUUAAUGUAAGAACCAUAAAACCAAAACCAUGUGUUCAUGUUUAUCAAAUGUGGUUUUACUUCACCAGAUCUUCUGCAGAGAGAAAAAUCUCUUCGCAUAGAUCAAGCAAGGCUUAGCAUAUUUAUGCCUUUUUAUUCCCUCUUGUGUUCAGCAAAACUGAAUGUAUCCCAGAAGAUGUAGUUAAUAAAGUAUUUUAUUGUAGAGAUGAAGAUAAACGUUUUCUGAGGAAAUUUCCAUGUGUGCAUUUCAGGAAUGAUGAUGGCUUUGAAUUAAGAUACUGUCAAAUCCACACAGGAUGAAGUCCUGCCACUAAGUCUCUGUCUUGGAUCACUCAGCUGGACACAAGGAACGCUUUUCCAUAUGGGACUCAGAACAAUUUUUUCAAGGUAGAGACAAUAGCAUGGAGCAUGGUUAUGUUUUAAGGAGCAACUUAUAGUUUCUUUUUGGCCUGGUACUUUCUUUCUCUGAAGGUAGAUCAGCUCUCUCUGAGGCCUCACAUCAUCCCACCCAUGACUACUGCAGUUGUUUAAUAUCACCCUUUCAUCUUCAGGUUAGUCAGAUGAAUGUUGCAUUUCUGUUUCUUCAAGAAACAAAUGUACAUAAUAUUGACUUAAAAAAAAAUAAAUAAAUAAAAAAAUCACUUCUUCAUGCUGAACUGACUCCCAAAGAACACAUAGAUGAACUGUGCUGAUACUAAGAUUUCUUUGCUCUUUUCUCCCUACUAAUUAUUUAUGAGCAGAGAGUUCACAGCUAAAGACAUUAAAGUUGAAGGUAGGCAAAUGUAAGGAAAAUUAAAAAAAAAAAAAGAAGAAGAAGAAAAAGAAGAUGUAAAAUGUUAUGAGAUGCGACAACAUACUUCCAGCUGUACUAAGUUUUCUCUUCAGUAUGUUUGUAGUCAGAUUGCAUGUACUUUCAAAGUCAUUUAUUCUUUCAUUGAAAGUUAAUUACAAUUUUCAUUUAAACAUAUUUUAAUUUAAAUCCAUGGAGAAAUCCAGCAGAUCAUUCACAGACUUCCUGUCACUUAUUCUUUGAGUAAAAAAGUAAUUUCCUCAACAUUUGUCAGUUUAUUCAUCAGUCUUAGUUAAAACGAAUAAAGAUAUUAAUCCUUUGAAGAAAUUCAGUAUUUAGAUUACUCAUUUCUGUGAACUAGCUGAAUAAUUCUGACAAUUCACAUUUCUUGUAUAGAGUUAACUUUAAUCAUUUGCAAAGGUUAAUUGGAUAAAAGUAGGAUCCAAUUAACCUACAUUAUUAAUAAUUGCAUCUUGCUAUUCAUAUAUGUUAUAAAUAGAAGCAUUAACAAAACUGAUAAAACAGACAUAGAAUUACCAUGGCUGAGCAUGCUACAUGUAAUUCAAACUAUUACUGUAUCUUUUUAUUCUAUUCCACAGAUGGCUCAAUAAACUGUAUAUAUAUGAACAAAUAUAUCUGUAUCCAUAUACAUACACAUGUAUACAUACACAUAUACAUACAUACAUAUAUAUGCUAAGGGCUCUUUUUGGUGGAUUACCUGCUUGGCUCUUGCCACUCUGUUGAGGGUCUGUAACUGCAUCACCUCCUGAAAGAUUCCCACAGCUUUAAUCUCAAUUCUGCGAUAAAUGCAAAAGGCAUCAGGGAUAGCUGGGGAAGAGGCUAACAUGGAGACCCAAAGUCAGAAGGACUCAGGCAUUGUACCUUCUUUGAGUCAUCCAUUGAGUAAUGCCGACCCUCUUAACACAGAUCUCUAAACAUUCCAUACAGAAUGGUAACAGAAAUGCUACACUUCCACUCCAUGAGUUUACCCAAACAAGUCAAAGGAUUUCCAUGAUGUGCUUUUACUGCAGUUCUCUAGCUGCUGUAGAGGCCGGGCAGUACUACUGCAUUUACUCUUACCCAUAUACCCCAUGUGUACAUUGUAUGCAUGUGAAGACUGCGGCCAAAUGGUUUCUAGUUCCAUUAAGCUCUUACAGUUGAAUUCUCUAGCAAUUCUUUCUUCCUGAGUAUAGUACAAUCUAUAUUAAAUCUCUCUCUCUCUUUAGUUUUUUUCUUAAAGCCUAUUCUCAGACAGACAUUGUAAAAUGGAAUUAUUGCCUUUGUGUGUACUCAUACAACACAAUUGUUUUAAUUAUACCCGAAUCAAGCAUUACAGCUACAAUAAUUUUUUAGAGUCAAUGUACAAUGUGUCUGAAGUAUACAACUGUAAUUCUGACCUAUGGUAAUGUGUUUUGGCAAGGAGGAUAGGCAUGAGAAAAAGGAAGGUAAAAUGCACAGGAAUUCCUGUGCAUGAAAACCUUUCUGCUUUUACAGAGCUUUACCAAUAGAUAAAUAAAUAAAAAUAAAAAAUCUACUUCAAUGUGGAAAUGUCUUCACAGUUUUAAAAUACAUAUUUUUCAUACUUCAUUGGAAGACUCUCCAGAAUUGGACUGAUGGAUGUGCUUUCAGGGACGCUUACUAGGACCAGCUCCACUGAUGCCUGAAAUAAAUAUUAAUUUAACUGGAACUAGCUCUGUAGUAGAGUUACAAAAUAAAUGAAGUUGAAGUGAUUGGGUACUACUUAAACAAUAAAAUGAAGCAUACUGUGAACAUUUGUUUAUGUAUUGCAUAUUGUGUGAGGUUAUUCAGUGUAUUAAAGAGGUAGAAAAUAUUUGCUUUUCUUGUGAACCCAAUGCAAAAUAGCUGGAACUACACUGUCAGUUAAUAUAAUAAAACCAGUACAAUAUAUAAAAAUAUUGAUAUCAAAUCCCUUCUCUCAGUCUUUUCAGCUAUAGGUGAAUUUCAUACCAAAUGCAGCUUCACAAAUGUGGUACCACAGUCUACAGAUAUUUUAAGAAAGCCUCAUAAAACAAAAUCAGAAGGUAGAUUCCUAUCUUUCAGACCCCACUUAUAGCUGUUACCCCAUUCAUACACAACAGUAAUCUGAAUAAUGAGACUUUUUUUCUAAUGUAAGAUAUGUGGAAGUGUGGAAGGGUAUAAGGGUAUAUUAAUUCCGACCUUACUUUUAGUUGCAUCAAAAUUCAAAAAAUCAUAGAAUGGUUUGGGUUGCAAGGGACUUUAAAGAUCAUCUACUUUCAACCCACCUGCCAUGGACAGGGACACCUC